CGGGAACUUCUGGUGGAUCCUCCUCGUCAGACGAUCCAGCGCUGGAUGACUCCUCGUCACUGUCCGCCAGACAGUAGGCCCGAGGUCCCUCCCCCUCCUUCCCCAGACGAGCCAAGUUCAUCUUCGUCUCCAGGGUCAUGAUGAAGGAGCCAGCGUAGGACACCUCCAGAUCAAACCACAAACCUAGAGGAAGAGAGAAGCUAUUCAGCAUUGGAAAUUUAACACCCCGCCCAUCGUUAAGGAUACAGCCAAUUACUAAACAGAUGAUAUCUGUUAGAUACUCCUAAAGCAUGGCAUCAUCUACCGCUUAUCCGGGGCCGGGUCGCGGGGGCAGCAGUCUAAGCAGGGAUGCCCAGACCUCCCUCU